rnacentral:rRNA from 1 species
GACGAACGCUGGCGGCGUGCUUAACACAUGCAAGUCGAGCGGUAAGGCCCUUUCGGGGGUACACGAGCGGCGAACGGGUGAGUAACACGUGGGUGACCUGCCCUCAGCUCUGGGAUAAGCCUGGGAAACCGGGUCUAAUACUGGAUAUGACUCCAUGACGCAUGUUGUGGGGUGGAAAGCCUUGUGCGGCUGAGGAUGGGCCCGCGGCCUAUCAGCUUGUUGGUGGGGUGAUGGCCUACCAAGGCGACGAUCAGUAGCUGGUCUGAGAGGACGGCCAGCCACACUGGGACUGAGACACGGCCCAGACUCCUACGGGAGGCAGCAGUGGGGAAUCUUGCGCAAUGGGCGAAAGCCUGACGCAGCGACGCCGCGUGAGGGAUGACGGCCUGGU